rnacentral:rRNA from 1 species
UACGUAGGGUGCAAGCGUUGUCCGGAAUUAUUGGGCGUAAAGAGCUCGUAGGCGGUCUGUUGCGUCGGCUGUGAAAACCCGAGGCUCAACCUCGGGCCUGCAGCCGAUACGGGCAGACUAGAGUUCGGCAGGGGAGACUGGAAUUCCUGGUGUAGCGGUGAAAUGCGCAGAUAUCAGGAGGAACACCGGUGGGCGAAGGCGGGUCUCUGGGCCGAUACUGACG